rnacentral:rRNA from 1 species
UUUGCAUAUUCCACAAGCGGAGGAAAAGAAACCAACAGGGAUUGCCCUAGUAACGGCGAGUGAAGCGGCAACAGCUCAAAUUUGAAAUCUGGCUCUUUCAGAGUCCGAGUUGUAAUUUGCAGAGGGCGCUUUGGCUUUGGCAGCGGUCCAAGUUCCUUGGAACAGGACGUCACAGAGGGUGAGAAUCCCGUACGUGGUCGCUAGCUAUUGCCGUGUAAAGCCCCUUCGACGAGUCGAGUUGUUUGGGAAUGCAGCUCUAAAUGGGAGGUAAAUUUCUUCUAAAGCUAAAUAUUGGCCAGAGACCGAUAGCGCACAAGUAGAGUGAUCGAAAGAUGAAAAGCACUUUGGAAAGAGAGUCAAACAGCACGUGAAAUUGUUGAAAGGGAAGCGCUUGCAGCCAGACUUGCUUGCAGUUGCUCAUCCGGGCUUUUGCCCGGUGCACUCUUCUGCAGGCAGGCCAGCAUCAGUUUGGGCGGUGGGAUAAAGGUCUCUGACACGUUCCUUCCUUCGGGUUGGCCAUAUAGGGGAGACGUCAUACCACCAGCCUGGACUGAGGUCCGCGCAUCUGCUAGGAUGCUGGCGUAAUGGCUGUAAGCGGCCCGUCUUGGACCCCCCGGACCAA